CAGCCCCGGGCACGUAAGGGUUACCGGGAGUCCAGGGAGCUGUCGCCCUCCCGCGCCUCCCAGUUACCGUGGCAACGAUGUUGCCUAGUUAACGCGAGAGCUCGGGCGCAGCUCUGGGAGCGGACAAGAUACAGUAAACAAUUGGCUUGCAUUGCACCUUCCUACCCAAGCAGCUUGGUUUUCUUUCGCUUUGACCCUGUAAUUUCUUUCCCACUUCGUUGUCGUCUCUGAAUUACCUUUCUCUUGAUUCUUGCCCAUUAGCAUCCUCCAAUUUCAGAUGUUUGUAGAUCCCCAAGUGUUCCCAGGGAAAACUACUAGAAAAGGAGAAAACUGAAUGGGCUACCUUUGAAGUCCAGGGCACCCUCCUCUAUCUUGUUCACUUCCUCAUCAGGCACUAUCUAUGGACUGAGAAGAGAAGGACUUUAAAACAGUGGUAAAGAAAGCAACAAAGACAAUGACUGGCAAGACAGAAGAAUUGUGCAGAGAAAGAGGUAGAUAGAAAUGGAAGUCUGUUGUUCCCCUCUAUGUGUCUAUGUGUUUUCAUCAUUUUGCUCCCACUGAUACGUGAGAACAUGCCACAUUUGGUUUUCUGUUCCUGUGUUAGUUUGGUAAGGAUAAUGCCCUCCAGCUCUAUCCAUGUCCCUGCAAAGAACGUGAUCUCAUUCUUUUUAAUGGGUGUAAAGUAUUCCAUGGUGUAUAUGUACCACAACACCCCUGAACUUAACUUAAAAGUUAAAAAUAAAAAAUAAAAAAGGAAAAGCUGAGUUAAGCUAUACUAUCUUUGUAACUCUUCUGUAAAUCUAAAAUUCUAUCAAAAUAAAAAGUUUUAAAUGUAUUUAAAAAAGAAAUGGAAGUCUGACUUGGGAAAGCAUUAUGACAAUUCUAGCAGUGAACAUUUAACACACAUCUAAUGCCCACUUUGAGCAGUGGAGACUUGCUUAAGAAAAUUCCACUGUUCGAUAUGCAGUGGGGUAUACAGCAAUUUCCAAGACAGUCUUGCUGGAGAGAGCCUUCUUCCAGCCAUUGCAAGUUCUCCUGAUCCUCAACUGUCACAUCCUAUACCUGAAACAGAGUAGAUUUAUCUAAAGUAUUGUGUAAUCCCUGAUUGACUUUAACAUGUCUUAGCAUGUCUACAAU
rnacentral:lncRNA from 10 species